rnacentral:rRNA from 1 species
UACGUAGGGUCCGAGCGUUGUCCGGAAUUACUGGGCGUAAAGAGCUCGUAGGUGGUUUGUCGCGUUGUUCGUGAAAACUCACAGCUCAACUGUGGGCGUGCGGGCGAUACGGGCAGACUGGAGUACUGCAGGGGAGACUGGAAUUCCUGGUGUAGCGGUGGAAUGCGCAGAGUAUCAGGAGGAACACCGGUGGCGAAGGCGGGUCUCUGGGCAGUAACUGACGCUGGAGGAGCGAAAGCCGUGGGGAGCGAACAGG